AGUGGGAUUACUGGAUCAUAUGGUAAGUUUAACAUUAACUUUAUAAGAAAUUUCAAACUAUUCUCCAGAAGGGCUAUACCAUUUGACAGUCUACUGGCAAU
rnacentral:pre_miRNA from 1 species